rnacentral:lncRNA from 1 species
AGUUAAUUAGUAAUCAAAUUACUAAUUAAACCUCUCAUAAAUAUUGAGUCCAAAUUCGAUGGGCAAUCAGGCAUCAGAGACCAUCGAUAUAAAACCCUGAUCAAAGAGUUCAAAUUUCAAAUUCAAAAUUUGAAAUUCAAAAUUUUGACCCCGGUACCCAAAAUGUGUGGAACUCAUGAUUAGAGAAUCCUAAUUCUCAAUCAUAGAGUCUCAGAUAGAUAAGACUCAUAAUCAGCCAUCAGAUCAGAAAGGAACCUCUAAUGUGUGUGACCCCGCAGGUUCGAACCUAAGCCGGUAGCAUAGGAACUAAUUCCUGUACUAAUCAAUGUGACCAUCUAGAAAUAGAAUCCGACGAUCGGAUAGGUCAAAUAGUCGUAAUCGCAACAUUCAGAACCUACGUGAAUAUGGUUAUCGUAUAAUUCAUCCCUUUUGACCCCUGUGUUUAGGAUGACUCAGGGUUAAACUGUCAACCCUGAUGAGAUCAUCCGAAUCAUACUCAACUCAAUUAGUCCUGUGACUCCUCACUAGGACUACCCUGGCCAAGAUUUUACUAAAUUGAAACAUGACUGUACAUAGCUCCUAAACUGGAGUGGUCAAUCCCAUCUUGACACAUACACUGACAAGUCAAGUACUUGACUACACCCAGCAGCCUUCCGUCACUUAAUUAAAAAUUUAGGUAGUCCAGUGCCUAAGUGCAGUGAGUUGCUUGCAAGUCACUGUGGCGGUCUC